GCGGCUGUAGUGUAGUGGCUAUCAUACGGCCUUGCCAAGGCUGUGACCCGGGUUCGAAGGAUAUAGGUUAACGUCGUAAAAUCCAUAUGGUUAUCGCUUGGCGAUCGUAAAACCUGUCUCGAAAGUCCCGGCAGCCGCA
rnacentral:tRNA from 1 species